rnacentral:rRNA from 1 species
GCGCACCAGGCGAGAAACUUCACCAAUGUGCGAAAGCACGAUGAGGGAAUCCCAAGUGCUUGCACGUAAGUGUAAGCUGUUUCUCUGUCUAAAACGCAGAGAGAGUAAGGGCUGGGUAAGACGGGUGCCAGCCGCCGCGGUAAUACCUGCAGCUCGAGUGGUGACCGUUAUUAUUGGGCCUAAAACGUCCGUAAGCCGGUUUAAUAAAUGCCUGGGUAAAUCGGAACCGCUUAACGGUUCGAAUUCCGGGUAGACUGUUAAACUUGAGACCGGGAGAAGUUGGAGGUACUCC